ACAGCGAGGGUCCAGAGAGAGAUAGAGGGAAAGGAAGAACAGAGGGAGAGAGGGAUGGGGUGGGAUCAAUCGCUACACUCCUCUUCUUUUCCUCGCGGCCGUUUGGUGUCGCUCCGUGGAAGCUGGAAAGGAAGAGUGGAUUGAGAUCGACAGGCAGCAGGGCGGGAGAGAGCCAUUCCAGUGUAUGGCAAUCAGCCAUUCCAGUGUAUGGAAAUCAGCAGCAUGAGACUCACCAAUGCAGGUCUUGCUGUCUGAAUGAAGGGCAUAUUUCUGAUGACAUCCGCAUACAGGCCCCACGUCUGUGUCAUCGCAUGUGUGUUGGCAACCACCAUUUCCAUAGUUACAUGUCACUGGUAACACACAACAACUGUGAGGAGUGUUGAAAAAAAUGUACCAACAUGGACACCCCUUUAUACAAAGUACACUUACACACAAACUCUCUUAAAUAGUGGGUCAGGACCCAAUAAUAAGUUGCGGGUCUCAUCUGAGCGAAGUAUGCAUCAAUGCAUGCUUGGACCCACAUAAUUUUAGGUGUCUUUAACUACUAUGUACUUAAGCGUUUGGUUCAAUGUACUUAUUAUGUACAUACUUGUUGUUGCGUCAUAGUUACAUUUAAAGUACCUGCAUUUAAACAAAUCUGUAGUUACACUUAACCCCAACCCUAAUCAAGUAAUUGUAUUUUAUGUAUUUUCACGUUAGUACAUAGUAGUUAAAGACACCUAAUAUAAAGUAUGUUUUUUAAGGCUAUUGUAGAUUAUUUUAACAUUUGCACUAUGCAAGUGGAUUGGUUUGAGACAGACAGUUAUCCAAUGCAGGAUAACAAUGCAAUUUUAUGAUGUAGUAUUUUGACUUCCGAUAUUGGUGUACUGACUAACUCCAAACUUUAUACUUUAUACUUUAUCAUUGCCAGUGCAGUACAUGCUUUCUGUACUAAGUAAAAGUAUUCAAAUUAGGAAUCAGCCUCUGUCUUUACAUACAAAUGCACACUUGAAAUGUCAAACGUUGUCAUGAAGUCUCAAAUCCCAAUAAAAGGCUGUUAAUAAGA